rnacentral:rRNA from 1 species
UACGUAGGGUGCGAGCGUUGUCCGGAAUUAUUGGGCGUAAAGGGCUCGUAGGCGGUUUGUCGCGUCGGGAGUGAAAACCCAGGGCUUAACCCUGGGCUGGCUUCCGAUACGGGCAGACUAGAGGUAUGCAGGGGAGAACGGAAUUCCUGGUGUAGCGGUGAAAUGCGCAGAUAUCGGGAGGAACACCAGUGGCGAAGGCGGCGACCUGGGCCAAUACUGACGCUGAGGUGCGAAAGCGUGGGGAGCAAACAGG